UACGUAGGGACCAAGCGUUGUUCGGAUUUACUGGGCGUAAAGGGCGCGUAGGCGGCAAUUCAAGUCAGCUGUGAAAUCUCCGGGCUUAACUCGGAACGGUCAGCUGAUACUGCUUUGCUAGAGUGCAGAAGGGGCAAUCGGAAUUCUUGGUGUAGCGGUGAAAUGCGUAGAUAUCGUUUGGAACGCCAAUGGUGAAAACAGGUUGCUGGGGAUAUGCUGACGCUGAGACACGAAAGCCAGGGGAGCAAACGGG
rnacentral:rRNA from 1 species